CCCAUCUCUUUCUCUCUGUGUGUCCUUCAUGAAUAGGAGCCACUCCACGGACCUGUGACAUGAGACGGCACUGGCCAAAGGAGGACGUGGGUCUGCGAUGGGGACAGGACUGAGCCAGGAAGGCGAACACAGCAGAUUUUUAUGACCGCGCCCCUCCGGGGUGAACUCAGCAUCACCCCAUCCUAGGCUCCUCCGCCAUGAUGUCCUGCCUCGUCCUGGGCCCAGAGCUAUGGAGUCCCCGGACCACAGACGGAGCCUCGGAAUCCAGGAGCCAAGCAUAAACAAUACAAUAACAGUGGAAUCCAGCAAUAAUAUGAAGUGUAUUGUGCCAGCCUGAGGACCAGGACUACGUCAAGGCCAGCUGUGGACGUCCAGCCACACGUUGGUGGCUGUAGGUCCAUGUCUUCCUGUUGACCUCAGGAGGGCCCCUGCACGCGGCCAGGCUUACCAACAGGACACCCUUGGGAGAGAGAAGUGCACUUACCAGGAAAUUCAGCCCUGACCCAACGUGUCAUUUAACGGAUGGGUGGAAUUCGCUCAGGUUUUCCCCAGUGCCAUCCGCCCGGGAGGCUUUCUGUCCCCGUGGCCUAGCAUUCACUCCGCGGUCCCAGCUGCAGUGGCCGUCUCUCCUCUGAUGCACAGCGAGUUGUCCCGUGGUGUCCCUCCAUCUAGCUUUGUCAGCUGUUUUCUUUUUCCCUUUAUUCAUGUUUUCCUUGCUGGGGACGGAACCCAGGGGCUCUCAACCCUGAGCCACAGCCCGGCCCUUUUGAUAUUUUAUUUAGAGAGAGAGUCUUGCUGAGUUGCUUAGGGCCUUGCGAAGUUGCUGAGGCUGGCUUUGAACUUGUGAUCCUCCUACCUCAGCCUCCUGAGCUGCUGGGAUUAUAGGCGUGCACCGUGGUGCCCAGCUUGCCUGCUGUUUUCGAAAGCUGGAUGUGUGUUUCCGGUGGAGUGAAUCCUGAGGUCUGUGUCUUUUGCUUGAAUCUUUGAAAAACAAACAAACAAAAACCAAAAAACAAACAAACAAACAAAAAACCCCCCCAAAACCCAAACUAAUCGCAAAGAUUAAAACCUGAGAGAUUGUCUGCUUGUCUUGACUUCUGUGUCCUCUCAUGGACAGAGAGCUCUGCCCUGGGCCCCUGGACUGGGAUCCUUCAGGGAACGGUCCUGCAGCUGGGUGGUGGGUAUCUGAGAUGGGGCAGGUGUGAUGGGUGCCGUCCCCCCUCAUCGGGGUGAGUCCUCCUGGACAUGUAGGUGUUGAUUGUGCAAUUCUCUUUGGGUCUGACCCACCCAAUUCAGAGGCCAUUUUAGAGCCCCUGGGAGGCAGAGGAGUGGCCUCUGGGUGCA